UACAGUGGUAUUCCGUGCGCUUGCGGAUCUAUUCGUGGUUCAUGAAAUACUGCCGUCCCAAAUUGGCGUCUGUGGGCGUCAUCGCUAGGUGACGUUGGUAGGCGCCAACAAGCAUUACUCUGAGCUCGAGUUGGAAACCGUCUGGGUCGUACAUUGGUGUAUCACCGUAGCUAUUUUAUUUCUCAUUAUCGUUUGUAUCGAGUGUCCUCCUCCUCAAAAGUUUGUACGGUGACUGAACCAUCUAUUGAAUAAAUGUGUUAUCAGCCUCCUGAGACUGAUAUUUGUAUCACAUUUAGUCUCUACUUAUGUGGGGACGCUUCAGGCUUGCUAUGCGAGUAGGUGCUUAUAUCAAUUUUACUAAUGAUGGGACUCGUGUGUAUUGUGAAGCUUGUAACAUUCCUAAGAUUUUAGACAGAGAUAGUACAAAUUGGAAUGAUUUGAUAACUAAAAUUGGUUUAGAAAUUAAGCUAGGCUCUAAACACAAGUUGCGUGUCACUUACUGGGACAAAGUGACUCGCAACAAUGAGGAUAUUGCAUCUGACCAGAAAUUGCUUCAUGCAAUUGAUAUGUAUUGGGAGAUAAGAAGGCUCUCAAUGCAAGUGCAUGUUAUGAAAAAGGAUGACUCUAAUAUCAUAUCUGACAUUGGCCGGCAACAGAACAUGCCAUGUGUGUUGCAGCAAAGCACUACUCCACUUGAAAUUGCAUCAGCCCAUGUAGAGCCUCCACUUGAAAUUGCAUCAUCCCUUCCAGAGCCUCCACCUCAAGUGGCUUGGAUUGGUGAUGAUGUGGAGUAUGUUGGUUUGAAUGAUGAGGCCUCUUAUGAGGUUUUGAUUUCUGAUGAUGAAUCAGAUGGUGUAGUAGUGGGUGAUGGUUUGGAUGAUGACUUAGUUGUGGAUGAUGAAAGGGAUUGUCAGUCAAUCAUCCAUGCAACUGACUUACAAAACCCGACAAUUCAAGUUGGUAUAACUUUUGGGGAUGGUGAUACAUUUAAGAAGGCUAUUAGGCAAUAUGUAAUAAAAGGUAUAUAUGAAAUUGCAGCUCCAUAUUCUGAAGCUACAAGAUAUAGAGGUUACUGCAAAGCUGAAUGGUGCAAGUGGCGGAUCCAUGCUUCAUAGUUGCAGGAUGGAAGGACUUGGCAGAUAAAGAAAAUGCCAUAUCAACACACUUGUCAAAGUACUGGAAGAGUCGAGAAGAAUAAAAUGGCAACCAAUCACUGGGUCAGGGAUAGGGUUCUUAACUGGCUUGCAAUAGAUCCUACAAAGGGGGCUACAUACUUGAAAGAGAGGCUGGAGGAAGAGUAUCACGUCAAGUUAUCAUAUUGGUUAGUGUGGGAUGGAAGAAAAAUGAUUUUGGAAGAACUGAACGGCAAGUGGGAUAACAGCUUUGAGCAUGCUGAAAUACCAGAAGAAUAAUUAUCCUUUGUUGACCCUUUUGCUACACCAAGUAGAGCUAUUACUGUAUCUACAUCGAGCCCUGUGACAAAAAGCUAUUGCAUUGUGCUUGUUGAACUAUGUUUUAGGUUCAAACUACAAUUUCACAUGGUUCGAUCAUGCAGUAUGUCAAGGAGGCUGCUGGAAUUUGAAGCUUCUACACCAACUAGAGCUAUUAUUUCUACAAGUACACCAAGCCCUAUGACAAGAAGCCGUAAGAGGUUGCUGGAACUUGAAAGAAAUAUAGAGCCUGUUGCAUGUCUGGCUCUAUCUCCAUCUCCCGUUGCUGUCAAUGAGAAGGGGAAAGCAAAAAAGUUGAAGGUUGUGAGGUCCAAGAAGACAUAGUAUGUAACAACGAAAAAUAUCGCGGGCUAUUAAAAAUAGCGUUUGACCUUUUCUGGCCGCUAUUGGCGCUAUAGUGCCGCUAUGGCCACGCUAUAGCAGCAGCUAAGCGGAGUAGCGUUAGCUGAUUGCUGCUGCUAUAGCACCGCUAUAGCGCGCUAUUUGUUUACAAGUGACAGAAAAAAUAAAAAUCUAUGAUAAGUUGAUAACAAAAUAAUAGCCAACAUAAUUCAUGAAUUUUCAACAUAAUCCAUGAGUUUUUAACAUAAUAACAGCCAACAUAAUCGAUGAUAAGUUGAUACUUGAUAACGUAAGUCAUAAAUGCAAUAAAAGCUAGAUAAGUUCAUAACAGCCGGGCCUUUUUUUAUGAAGUAACGGGCUGCACAUUCUAUUUUAGGCCUGGUAGCAAUAGCGGAAAAAUAGUGGUGCUAUGACGCUAUUCGCAUUUAGUGGCGCAAUAGCGCGAAAUAGCGUCGAUAGCGCCAAUAGCGUGAAUAACAAUAGCUUCGCAACACUUGCUUCGUCCCACUAUAGCGGCGCUAUAGCACGAAAAUAGCGCGCUAUUUUUUUUUCCCAUGGUAUGUAAUUAGGAUCUAGCUUCGUACUACUAGAUAACCAAAUGUGGGUGAACCUGUUAUUUUGUGUGCUUGGAAUGUUUCUG